rfam:Camelus ferus unplaced genomic scaffold scaffold705, whole genome shotgun sequence.
GGAGGAAUCGAGCUCAGUGGUAGAGCACGUGCUUAGCAUGCACAAGGUCCUGGGUUCAACCCUCAGUACCUCCA